CGGAAUUACUGGGCGGAAAGGGCUCGUAGGUGGCCAACUAAGUCAGACGUGAAAUCCCUCGGCUUAACCGGGGAACUGCGUCUGAUACUGGAUGGCUUGAGUUUGGGAGAGGGACGCGGAAUUCCUGGUGUAGCGGUGAAAUGCGCAGAUAUCAGGAAGAACACCCGUGGCGAAGGCGGCUCUCUGGGACGGUACUGACGCUGAGACGCGAAAGCGUGGGGAGCGAACAGG
rnacentral:rRNA from 1 species